rnacentral:sRNA from 1 species
AUUUAUCUUCAUCAUGCUUGU